UAGGCUUAUUUAUUAACACACUAUCAAAAUGUAAAAUGUUAAAUAAGAGUAACGAUAUUGCCUUCCUUUACACAAUUGAAGACAGUGUAUAUAUAUCGUAAAGUGUGCAAAUCAGUUGCAUAUAAAAUACAUGUCAUCCACAACUGGUGAAAUGGGUUACACCAGGGGCAUAAUAUAUAGUUGAAUAGUCACAGGUUAUACUUCAUAUGGGCUGUUAUAUUUAAAGAGGAAGCAAUUGAUAUUUGACUAUUUCAAAACACCACUUUCUUCUUGAUAUAAAAGUACAAUUAUAUAAUGAAUCUAUUAAUGACAUUAAAUACAGUACAAUCUAAAAAAGGAGUUCCUUAUCUUCCCAUAAUCAUAUGCUCCCUUUAUAAAUAGCAUUCUAGUUUACGCCAUGUCAAUAUUUUUGAUGGAAUAUCCCUACACCACCUUUUCUAUACGAUUUGGAAAAAAGUGUUAAUUGCAGUGCACAUAACAUGUCACUAGUUUCUUCGUUUGACAUUUUUAAGCAUAACAUGAUAAUACAUUAAUAAUAAAAAGAUGGUGGGAUUAAAUAAUCAUCGAAUACAAAAUCGUUUUGCAUGUUCAUAAAUGGAUUUGGUUCGUAAAUAUACGGAUAAUUCCUGUACAUGCCAUUACGCCCAGUUAAAUACCAUGGAUACACGAUACCAUCAUGGCGAUUGUUCCUGCUGUGUCUAGGCUUUAAUCUCCCAGUCUUGAACCUCACACUCUUUUUAUGAUUUAUCUUGCUUAAUGUUGAUCCAGUUAUAAAAUAAGCUACUGCAGUAAAGAUUGCGCAACAGAAACUGAUCCAUCCUAAAACAUAAGACCAAUCAAUGUUAAUGUCGGUCGCCAUUUUUAUUUCAAAUGACCAUGAAGGGAAGAAUUUUACAUUGCCGACAUUGUCAGUUAUUUUAUUUUGCUCUAAAUGAAAGGCUCCGUGCCAAAAGGCAAUGGCUACAACUUCGAAGAAAGCUACCAAGCAUGACAAGAAGCUGGCCAUGAACGCAUACUUUGAUCGUCUGCAAUAACAUAGAAUAACUAUUCCUAAUACGUACAGUGCAAUAAGAAAGACUAUUCCAAUGAUAAAAAAAGCGAUGCAUGUUCUUAGUAGAUGGACUCUGCUCAUAUAGUGGUUAGAUAAAGUCUUGAAGGACGUAUCAGGAAUAUCAAGGUCAACAAAAAAACACGAAUUAUCGGUUGUGUCCAACCUCGAUGCAAGAAACAUACCCGAUUCUUCCACUGAAUAACAUUCACGGAAAAGACCACGGUGUCUUGAAUAUGUAUACCUCCCAUUUAUAUUGUAAUCAUUUCUCUGAUUAGUCGUUAGAUUGUUCCUGUUAACUGAAUAUGAUACCCAAUAGUUUGUUGAGAAAGAUAAAGUCGUAAACAUCAAUGUUAAUAUUGUAGAACAUAUUCCAAUAAGAAGCCAAACCGUUAAAGACGUACAUUUCAAACGAAGCAUAUUCCCAAAAUGUGUAUUCAUUAUUCAUGUUAUUUGUCUCGUAGUGUCUGGUAAAAAUCUGUAUUCAGACAUAUUUUC
rnacentral:lncRNA from 1 species